GACGAACGCUGGCGGCGUGCUUAACACAUGCAAGUCGAGCGGUAAGGCCCUUUCGGGGGUACACGAGCGGCGAACGGGUGCGUAAUACAUGGGAAUCUGCCUUUUAGUUGGGGAAGUAACCCGGCCGAAAGCCGGGCUAAUGCCGCAUAAGAUCUUCGGAUGAAAGCGGGGGAUCGUAAGACCUCGCGCUGAUAGAUGAGCCCAUGCCGGAUUAGCUAGUUGGUGAGGUAACGGCUCACCAAGGCGACGAUCCGUAGCUGGUCUGAGAGGACGGCCAGCCACACUGGGACUGAGACACGGCCCAGACUCCUACGGGAGGCAGCAGUGGGGAAUAUUGGACAAUGGGGGAAACCCUGAUCCAGCGACGCCGCGUGUGUGAAGAAGGCCUGCGGGUUGU
rnacentral:rRNA from 1 species